rnacentral:rRNA from 1 species
CCUACGGGCGGCAGCAGUGAGGAAUAUUGGUCAAUGGACGAGAGUCUGAACCAGCCACGUAGCGUGAAGGAUGACUGCCCUCUGGGUUGUAAACUUCUUUUAUAUGGGAAUAAAAUGUUCCACGUGUGGGAUUUUGUAUGUACCAUAUGAAUAAGGAUCGGCUAACUCCGUGCCAGCAGCCGCGGUAAUACGGAGGAUCCGAGCGUUAUCCGGAUUUAUUGGGUUUAAAGGGAGCGUAGGUGGAUUGUUAAGUCAGUAGUGAAAGUUUGCGGCGCAACCGUAAAAUUGCAGUUGAAACUGGCAGGCUUGAGUACAGUAGAGGUGGGCGGAAUUCGUGGUGUAGCGGUGAAAUGCUUAGAUAUCACGAAGAACUCCGAUUGCGAAGGCAGCUCACUGGACUGCAACUGACACUGAGGCUCGAAAGUGUGGGUAUCAAACAGGAUUAGAUACCCGUGUAGUC